UUCUCUUUUCAUCCUUCUCCCGUCACCUAACUCGCCUGAUUCUUCUCCUCUCUUCUCUUCUUCACCUCUUUGGCUCCUCCAUCCGACGGCGCCGCCGCGACCCUUCUCCUCCCCUUCUUCUUCCCUAUCUCCUCUUCCCAUCUCUACCCUAGCCUCUGCCCUGAUUUCCCUUUCUCUGCAUCUUCAUCGCCACCGACGAGAAGGGAGCAACGCCAAGUGAAGGUUUCCUCACCUAGCCGAUGUCGUCUCUAUGUUGAAGACCAGAUUGGUGACGCCACCGGUCGAGGUACCAAAGGGGCUCUCGGCAGCCAAGCUUCUGAUCAUGCCAUAGAGUUGCCUUCGGGUUGCCUCUUUCCGAUCUAGCACCAGCUCAUUGUGCUGGCGUCUCCCGUGUCCUAGCACCAACACAAUUCCAGUGUUGGGCCUCACAACAUAGUCUGACCGAGAGGAAUCUGUGGACACGGUUUAGGGCUUUGACCACCAAUUUCGGUAGCGAGUACUUUUAGCUAGCAAAUUCCAGCAUCUCAUCGGAUCUGCUGCCAUCACCGAAGAAGAGGAAAGUUAGUAGAGGGUUGAGUGCAGUUGCUUGGUUCCAGCUUUGGACCCAGCCGCUAUAGCUCCGGUUGUGAGCAACAACACGAAUGGAUUUUUGGGACUUUGAUUUGAAACGACGUCUCGACGUGGGGUCUAUUUUGGAGACGAUCUCCAUUUUGAGGCGGGUACCUUGACUUAUCUCUUUUGAUAUGUCAUGUUGAUAUGCGUAGUAGGUUAUAGCCUUUAGUAAUAAUUAUGUUUAUCAUUGCUUUAGUAUGUCACUACAUGAUACCGCUGCAUGCUUUCAUUUAUUCUGUAUUUAUGAUUUAUUAUUGCCAUGAUUAUUUAUGUUCAAA